GUCUAUGGCCAUCACCCUGAAUGUUCCUGACCUUCAAAGCUAAGGAGGGUUGGGCAUGGUUAGUACUUAGAUGGGAGACCACCUGGGAAUGCUUAAUGCUGUAGGCU
ensembl:rRNA 5S_rRNA 5S ribosomal RNA